UGUCCAAGGCAGGACAAUAGGAUGUAAGAAAAUCCUCAGAAAGGCUCCUACAUCCAUUAAAAAAAAAAAAAAAAAAAAAAAAACAAGCUACUGAGAAAAAGGUACAGAGUUCUUGGCAAUUAAAAAAUCUGUCACCAGUUCAUAAAAAGUCCUAGGACACUAAGCAAAGAAACGGUCUUUGGAAAAGCAGUGAAGCAAGUUUCUGUGUUCUUUCAUUUCUCAGGAUAUAGGACUCCCCCAAAUGGACAUCGUCGGGAAUAGCACUCCUAAAACAGGCCAUUUCACAGUCAGAGGAGCGUCCCUCCUCUUCCUGCAAGCGUCCCGUCCUAUUAAUGUGACUAAGUCACGUUGACGAUCACACGAAAAGACUGCUGUCUUUUAGCCUUCCUGGCAGCCCUAAAGAUUUUUCUUUUUUUUUUUAUCCCAGUGGUUCUUAACCGGAAGCAGUUUUGCCAUCCUCCUCGCUAUCUGAUCUGGCAGUGUCUCCAGAUGGUUGUGCUUGUCCCUGCUGGGGAGAGGGGGACAUGUUGCCACUGGGUUUUAAGCGUGUAAGGGCCAGGGAUGCUGUUAACAUUCUACAGUGUUCUGGACAGCCCACAGGAAGGAAUUAUUUAGACCAAAAUGUCAAAAGUGUCAAGGCUGGGAAAUAGUUAACUGUAAAUUGCCAAGCCGACUUGCAACCAGAACUUUUCCUUAAUCUCCCAAGAUGUCAGAGACCUAAGAGGUUAAAAGCUGCAAGCUGAAAGUUGGCAGUCUUCUGAUAGUUAUGCUAAACUAUCCUAAUACUUUACUAGAAAGUAGAUAAAUCUCUAACAAACACUUCUUGUGCCUGAUGUGCCCGCACAGUGAAGCUCAAGGCGUGACAUCAAGAAUAACAUUUAGCCUGGGGGGAAAAAAAAACAUCCGUAGUUGGACUGUUUGGUACAUCCUUCUGUCGUCACUGUCAGUCUCUCUGGUUCUCUAUCCCAGGGUGCCUGGGUGCAGUCUCACAGCCCUCCUUUGACCGGGACUGCAGACAGCCAUGACGAGUCAGUGCUGGCAUCAUUCCUUCCCUAAGAGCUAUCCCCACCCAGACUGGUCCAGUAUAGAUGGCAGAUGCCUAAAUUCUUUCCUUCUCCGCCUCCCUCUCCCUCCCCUCCGCACAACCGUGCCGUGGUGAGGUCUUCAGGAGAUGAGAUCUCUUUAACCUUUGUCUCUUUGAUACAUGUCAUUAUUUUAGGGUUGCCUGGCUGGCUCAGUUGGUAGAGCACGCGACUCUUGAUCUUGGGGUCGUGAGUUCGAGCCCCACAUCGGCUGUAGAGAUUACUUACAAAAAUGUUACUAGUUUUGUCUUCAUCUUUGAAAUAUUGGCAUUUGGUGUGCAAUUGCAGGUUGACUGGUUUGUUCGUUUUUUCUUCCUUUAGCACUUUAAAAUGCCACUCUAUUGUCACUUGGUCCUAGUGUUUCUGAUGAUGAGUCAGCCGUCGUUCCUGUGUCGCUCCCCUGCACGUUAAGUGCCUCUUUUUUUUUUUUUUUCCUGUCUGCCUUCAAGAUUUUCUCUUUCUCUUUCUCAACACUUCAACCUUGAUCCUUUUAGGUGUGUUGUUCUCUGUGUUUAUCCUGCUUGGAGUUCUUGGAGUUCUGAAUAAGUGGAUUGGUAUUGUUCAUUAAAUUUGGAUACUUCCCAGCCACUGGGUAUUCAGUAGUUCUCUGCCCCACUGUUCUUGGAUAUUGUUCCAAUUUUCUUCCUCUCUGUAUUUUCAUUUGGGUCAUUUUUAAAAAUUUUUUUUAAUGUUUUUAUUUAUCUUUGAGAGAGACGGAGCGCGAGCGGGGAAGCGGCAGAGAGAGAGACAGAGACAGAGAGAGACAGAGGGAAACACAGAAUCCAAAGCGGGCUUCAGGCUCCGAGCUGUCAGCACAGAGCCCGAUGCGGGGCUCAAACCCACAAACUGUGAGGUCAUGACCUGAGCCAAAGUCAGACGCUUAACUGACUUGAGACACCCGGGUGCCCCUCGUUUGGAUAAUUUCUUUCAACUUCCAAACCUCUGAUGAAACCCCUCAUCUACUCAUUCACCCGGCCCGCCUUUUUCACUAGAUGCUCUAAGGUACUUACUGUAAUUAAGUUCCUGCAAAAUAAUUCCAACAUCUUGGCCGUCUUUGGAUCUAGUUCCAUUGGCUGUGUGUCCUGAUAAUGCAUCGUUUCUAUUUUUCUCCUGUGGUGAGUUUUGACGGGAUGCUAGCCACGUGUCGACACUGAGAGUGCCACACCUCUUGUGUCAGGCUGUUCGUGCAGGCACUCAGCUCUGCUAGUCUGUUGUUGCAGGAGUCUGGGCUCUGCUGUGGCUCUGGGCGCAUUCAGUUCGCCACAGGCUUCCGCUUAUUUGAGGGUCGGAUGAAAAUGUCUCCUUUGGCAGCUCUUGUUUAUCUCAGUUGUCCUGCCUUACCCCCAAACUUCGUAGGACUUGUGUGGCUGCCUCAGGAGAGCUAGAACUCUCCUCAGCUCUCGUGCCCUCCCUACGGUAGUGGACCAGUGCCCGAUACUCAUUUUGAGGUGCAGAGGCCGGCAGGGACCGCUCCUCCUCUCGGUCGUUCCCACUGCUCUUCAGCAGGCUCUGCCUGUCUGAGCCUCGGAUGGUCCCAGGGUCGGGGGUGUCGUCAGCUGUCCCUUGCCCUCCUUCCGUGGUGGGCGGCCAUGACCUCCUGCUCCCCCUCAGACUCCAGCAGGCCCCACACACCCAAGCCUGAGGGGUUCCAGGGCCCGGGGUUCUCCCACCCCUGUUAUCGCCUUGCGUGGGUUCUUCCCACGCUCUCUUUCCCACCUCCGUCCUCACUGCCUUCACAUACCCUUCCUCAGCACCCAAGCUUCUAAAUCCAGCUCACGGAGUAGGUCUCAAGAGCCAUCACCAGUUUCAGAAAACCUUCCUGCUGUCUCAGGUCUGCAUCAGAUGCCCUCCCAUCACUUCUAACCUUUGAGCUGAGAAAACAGAAGUCCUCAGUGAAGAUCUGUUACAGAAUUGUUCGCCGUGAAACUAACUCUCGCCAGUCCGCACCUGCUCGCUUCAGCUUGAGGCCGUCUGCUGUACGCUUCCAUCACGUCGACGGCUGAUGCUGCUUCCCACCCAUUCGACAGGAGCCGUUCUUUCUAGAAUGUGCAGCGGAGAGAAAAGGCAAGGUACGAGGCACUGUUGCACAAAUCCAAGGCACUCUUGGAGCACAUGAGAACUUGUCUCAGAGGACUCCUUUUUCAAAAGCCCGUCCCAGCCCCCAUCUUUCUUCUUUUUCUUUUACAAUUUUCUACACCGAACAUGCAUUGUUAUCAUGGGAGAGAAGUCACUAAUGUACAUUUAAAGAGAAAUAAAGGAAGGAACUCCUCCGUGAGCAAGAGUGUUUGAAUGCGUUCGAGGGGUGCUAUGGAGGAGUUUCGGCUGAUGUGUGAGAUGGCGGCCCAGGUCUUGGACUUCUUUAGUGUGACGAACCAGUGGGCCACGUGGAACCCCAGCUGCCUGUUCAGGUGGGCACUCGACAGGGCUUCUCACAUUCUCUGAUCUGAGAAGGGAGUGUGCCCUUCCCUGGCGGGUUAAGGGUACCAAAGGAUGUCCCCGCCCUGCUCUCCGACCUGUGACUCUUAACGGCUUGCGGGUCUCCACUCCCGCCAGGUCACACUGUCGCCUCCGCAGGUUUUCGAUCGCGAUCUGUCCGAACCGGUCGUCCAUGUUCACCUGGGAAGGGAAAGAGGAGGCUGGGCAAUGCCAGAAGGGCUUCUCGAAUACGCAAAAUCAGACAGCAGUAUUCUGUUUCUGAGCCGUCAAGGCUGAUGUUUGCUAAUACCCAGUGCAGUCAACGGAGUCGGGUGCAGGCACGGCACGCAGGGCCGACGAGAGCGUCGUCUGCUGCCGCCCCCUGCGGGGCAACCGGGCGGUGUGCGCUCGGCUUGGGAGCCGGUCAGACCACUGAGCGGCUGCUCCACAGGUAGACUCCCACGUGCACGCCAGGUGCAAGAGGGUUUACUCCGCAGCAUGAUGUGUAACGGGCCCUAUGACGGAAAGGACUCACAUGCCCAUCCGCUGGGGUUAAAGCAGCUGUGGCAUGGUCGUUUAGUGAAAUAUUGCAUCGCCAUGAAAACAGCAAGAGGACAUCCGAGUAGAUGUAGGUACAGAUGGAAACACACAUACAGACACAGAUACAGAUGUGGAAUGAUUGUCAGAUAACAGACUCUCGAAAAGUACAGUACAGAGGGAUGUGCAUAACAUGCUCCUGUCUGCCCUUAAGAAAAAAAAUCUCUAGCUACGUUUACAUAUGCACAAAAUAAUUCUGGAAUCUGGCAGUGUUGCUUCCCAGGUUGGAGGACUCACUAAGGUCUGGGGUAGAAGAGACACUUACCUUUCCCUGCAUACCCUUUUGUACUAUUUGAUUGUUUUUUGAAGUUUUGCAUGUGGUGUUACUUAUCUAAUGAGAAACCACUUAAAACCCCCUUCUUACAAUGCUUAUUCGUUUUUGAGAGAGACAGAGCAUGAACGAGGGGAGGGGCAGGGAGAGAGGGAACCGCAGAAUCCGAAGCAGGCUCCAGGCUCCGAGCUGUGAGCCCAGAGCUCGACGUGGGGCUCGAACUCAUGAGCCGUGAGAUAUGACCUGAGCCAAAACCAGAUGCUUAGCUGCCUGAGCCACCCAUGUGCCCCCCAUUUACCACUUCAAAAAAACCAUUAAUGUAUCUAUAUGCACAAAUGUCACAAAACGUACAUAAUACACUGCGCAGUAUUAUUACUUUGUCCCAAAACGUCAACAGUUUACUAUACGAAAUGAUUCCCAGAGCUCCUGUGACGACGGUGGCAGGCAAGAAGCAGCAUCACUCUCUCUCGGUGGACGUGUGAGGCUUACGUGGCACGGAUGGUCACACUGGGUGCCUGUGAGCACGUGCUCCGUCGUCUUCCUGCCUGGGUCUGAAUCCUGGCCUGAAACUUACCAGCCGUGAGGCCGUGCGGCCGUGGGCAGCAAGCUGUCCAAUCCCUCUGUGCUUCGGUCCCCUCACCGGCCACACCCGCCACACCCCGGUUACUGUGACAAGUCGGUUAAUACAGGUCACACUCAUGGAAGGUGCCUGCUAUAUAUAUAGCAAGCAACUUCUACAAGUUCGCCACCCUUAUUAUAUCAGUACUGAAAUCUGCAUCACUCAGGGCGCCUCGGUCGGUAAGCGACCGACUCUUGAUUUUUGGCUCAGGUCAUGAUCUCACAGUUUGUGGGUUUGAGCCCCGCACUGGGCUCUGUGCUGACAGCAUGGAACCUGCUUGGGAUUCUGUCUGUCUCUCUACCUCUCCCCUGCUCGCUCUCUCUCUAAAAAAUAAAUAAAUAUUUAAAAAAAUUUUUUUUUCAUCAUUCAUGUGGUUUUUGUCAUUUUAAAAUACUGAUUAGGAAAUCACGGAAGGCAUGUGAGCAAUUAGUACACCUGAGGAGGCUGAUGGUUUGCAUUUGUUAGGAAAUUGCUGAAUUAAGUUAAAACGGACACAUCCCCAGGCUUGCUCCCAAGUGACUGGGUCCGUGGUCAAGAUUCACUUCAUCCACCAUUGCUAUAUGAUGUUGAAUAAGAGAAUGCACCAAUGAAACAAGGUGAACAGAGCAGGGUGAACACCCACAACGUGUGAAAACAAAGCAGAAUUCAGGGGCACCUACGUGGCUCAGUCGGUUAAGUGGCCGACUUCGGCUCAGGUCAUGAUCUCACAGUUCGUGAGUUUGAGCCCCGCGUCGGGCUCUGUGCUGACGGUUCAGAGCCUGGAGCCUGUUUCAGAUCCUGUGUCUCUCUCUCCCUCUAUCCCUGCCCUGCUCAUGCCCUCUCUCUCUCUCUCUCUCAAAAA